UAGUGCUUACAGCUCUUUUGAAUUUGUCUAGGUCUUCCAGUUCUCACCGGUAGAUCCCC
rnacentral:snRNA from 1 species